UCCAAGACCAAUCCUUAGCACGUUUAUUUAGGUAAAAAACAUAAAAUAAUAAUAAAAGAAAUUGAUAAUCCAAGGAUCGAAUCCUUACUUAGGGUGUUUAAGGAUCAGAUCCUUAAAAACGUGGCAAGGCUUCAGUGGUCAAUAACAGAACAGAACAAUCCUCCUUCUUCUACUACUCUUCGACUAAUCCACAACCCCACUCGACUCGCAAACCUCUGCAACCUUUGAUUUGAUGAUAACUUGUCUUUCAUUUGAUUUGAUGAUAACUUGACUCGCGAACCCCACUACUGAAACUUUUGAUUUGAUGAUAACUUGUCUUUCAUUAGGGAGAAGAAGUAUGAGUUAGGUUUAAGGUUGCUUGUCGAUGGAGAAACCACGGGUCGCCUUCGAGAUGCGAUCAUAGAGAGAGACGAGUCUCUGGCCUUUACAGAUAUACACGUUUGGUCCUACAUUUCGAGCUGAGAAUUCCAACACUUCCAGGCACUUGGCUGAAUUCUGGGUAAGCAUUGUUUUCAUCUUCCAGCCAAACUCAAAAUUGAUCUUUUACUUUCCUAUGACCAUUUUUCUAAAGACCUCUCUCUCAUUCUAUUGAUGAUGAAACUUGAAUGAACAAACACAUGUGAUCCACAGGUUUCUGAAGCAUCCCACGCUCGCCGCCGUGGGAAACGGCUCGUCAAGGAGAUAGGGGAUAUCAAGGAGAAAGGUUGCCUAAGUAACGGUUGUAACCAACUUGGAGCCAAAGGGUGUGUCAUGUAUGCAGAGAGAGGAAGUGGUCAAGCUUGGAUGCAACGCUUCUUAAGGUUUCAGCACUGGAUGAUCCGGUUCUAGCUACGGUUUGUGAGCCGGUAGAGAGAGCAAACUCAAACCACUUGUUCACUGCAGGACUUGCCGACAGCAUGGGAGUUAGGUAACUUGUUUAAUGACUUAUCUGUUAUAGGUGCUGUCUAUGCUAGUUGGGAGUCUUCCAGCCUCUGAAUAGCCUUUAGCCACAAGCUUCCUUUGCUGCAGCAUCACCGACAGUGUAUUUAGCAAUAUUGUUGGGUGAACUUAUUUUCUGAUGAACUUAAUAUUGAAUGCAGUUCUGGUCAGACUUCUCAUGAGCUUAGUAUUGAACUUAAUAGAUCAUUGUAACAAAAAAAAAAUAUUUUUUUCUCCUAAGGAUCUUAAAAAGAAUCCACCAUUGGACUGUUUA